rnacentral:tRNA from 1 species
UCCGGGGUAGCUCAAGGGUAGAGCGGGUGGCUGUUAACCACUAGGUUGGGGGUUCGAAUCCCUCCCCCGGAGCCA